rnacentral:lncRNA from 1 species
GCGGGGCACAGCUCUGCCCGGGGGCCUACCAGAGCCCACCUGGACCCCACACUGGGUCAGCCCUGGUGCGGAGGAGGCCGCUGUAGGCGCGGCCAGGUCACAGUCGGCACCAGAAGUUUGGCAGAUCUCAGUGAGGCGUUAGUUUGCAUUUCCUUGUGACGGGUGAUUUUGACUGGAAUGCCAGGCUUAACGUUGCUCAGAAGUUGCUUCUAUGAGGACGUCUCCCAGCAGCUGUCAGUGUUUCCAAUGAGUCAUCGCCAGCCCCUGCAAUGAGCCUCUCAGGCUGGUAAGUUUUGUUUCAGAACCGCUUCCUCAAGCUUCUUUUGCCUUUAAAAGCUUCCUCUUGCCCCAGCCUCCCAGGGAAUGCCUGUGGUCUGUCAUGGCUCACACAUCCUGGUUGAUAAUCCACUGCUGUUCUCCACGGAAUGCCUUCAUUUUGAGAGCUGCUCGCUGCCUGUUGUGGUUUCAGUUGACGGCCCACCGCUGUGUGCAGAGUUCACCAGCCGCUGUGGUGUGCAGUGCAGCAGCUGACCUGCCUGCCUUGUGGUUUUCUAAUCCCAUUGAGGGGACGUCUUAGGUGUUCUCACCAAGAAUGCACAGCAACAGUGCUGGGUGGGCCACAUCCUCCCUCACGUUUGGUGCCACCAGUUUUAUAGAUUUUGGCUACUGUGGGUGUGUGUGGUGGUUUUUGUUGGUGUUUACGACGCAUCUUCCUGGUGCUCGAGUCUGUCGAGCACUUUUUCUUGUGUUUAUUUGCCAUCAUUUGGCGAAGUGUUCAAAUCCUUUGACCGUUGUUUCACCAAGUUGUUUUAUUAUGAAAUUUUAGGGGUUACUUAUUCUGGAUCUCAGCACUUGGAUAAAUAUUUGAGAAUAUUUUUUGCAGUAAGUGACAUCG